rnacentral:rRNA from 1 species
CGAACGGGUGAGUAAUACGUGAGUGACCUACCUUUGACUCUGGGAUAAGCCUGGGAAACUGGGUCUAAUACCGGAUAUGACCAAUCUCCGCAUGGGGUGUUGGUGGAAAGCGUUAUGGAGUGGUUUUAGAUGGGCUCACGGCCUAUCAGCUUGUUGGUGAGGUAAUGGCUUACCAAGGCGACGACGGGUAGCCGGCCUGAGAGGGUGACCGGCCACACUGGGACUGAGACACGGCCCAG